rnacentral:tRNA from 1 species
GCCAUCUUAGCUCAGUUGGUAGAGUGCGUGACUUGUAAUCUCGAGGUCUUCGGUUCGAUUCCGAAAGAUGGCU